rnacentral:rRNA from 1 species
CCCUUAGAUGUCCUGGGCCGCACGCGCGCUACACUGAGUGUCUGAGAUACGAGUCUGCCUGGUCCGGCAAGGUCUAGGUAAUCGCUAAAAGACACAUCAUGCUUGGGAUAGAUUAUUGCAAAUAUUAAUCUUGAACGAGGAAUUCCUAGUAAGCGCAAGUCAACAGCUUGCGUUGAUUACGUCCCUGCCCUUUGUACACACCGCCCGUCGCUACUACUGAUUGGAUGUUUAAGCGAGGUUCUCGAACUGCUAGCGACUUAGCUUCGGUGAGGUCGCAGUGUGGGGAGUGAACCUAGCUUUGGGGUCUAGAGGAAGUAAAAGUCGUAACA